CGAACGAUGAACCCCGCUUGCGGGGGGAUUAGUGGCGAACGGGUGAGUAACACGUGAGUAACCUGCCCUUAACUCUGGGAUAAGCCUUGGAAACGGGGUCUAAUACUGGAUAUUGACUUUUCCUCGCAUGGGGAUUGGUUGAAAGAUUUAUUGGUUUUGGAUGGACUCGCGGCCUAUCAGCUUGUUGGUGAGGUAAUGGCUCACCAAGGCGACGACGGGUAGCCGGCCUGAGAGGGUGACCGGCCACACUGGGACUGAGACACGGCCCAGACUCCUACGGGAGGCAGCAGUGGGGAAUAUUGCACAAUGGGCGAAAGCCUGAUGCAGCGACGCCGCGUGAGGGAUGACGGCCUUCGGGUUGUAAACCUCUUUCAGUAGGGAACAAGGCCAGUGUUUAGCUGG
rnacentral:rRNA from 1 species